rnacentral:lncRNA from 1 species
GCCGGACCAUAUUGGAACAUCUCAAAAACUUAAAGAACUAGUUUGAUACUUGUUAAACUUGAGAGAAUGUAAGUAAAAUUGUAAUGAAGUUGAGGAGGUGUUUCUAUAAUUUAUCCAAAAAAUUAAUAAUUAGAUUAAACAUAGAUUCAUAUAAAAAUUACUUACCUUUUAAUCAUGCUCCGAGAGACAAUCCUGAAAAAAAAAAAUAAGUAUCUUUUACAAUCUCUUUCUUACUUUUGGAAAAAUUCACAUCUCCAAUUCUUUUUUCUGAUCUCAAGAUCCCGAGAAACGAACAAAACUAAUAGAUCCACCCAC